AGUGAACGCUGGCGGUAGGCCUAACACAUGCAAGUCGAACGGCAGCACAGUAAGAGCUUGCUCUUACGGGUGGCGAGUGGCGGACGGGUGAGGAAUACAUCGGAAUCUACUUUUUCGUGGGGGAUAACGUAGGGAAACUUACGCUAAUACCGCAUACGACCUACGGGUGAAAGCAGGGGAUCUUCGGACCUUGCGCGAUUGAAUGAGCCGAUGCCGGAUUAGCUAGUUGGCGGGGUAAGGGCCCACCAAGGCGACGAUCCGUAGCUGGUCUGAGAGGAUGAUCAGCCACACUGGAACUGAGACACGGUCCAGACUCCUACGGGAGGCAGCAGUGGGGAAUAUUGGACAAUGGGCGCAAGCCUGAUCCAGCCAUACCGCGUGGGUGAAGAAGGCCUUCGGGUUGUAAAGCCCUUUUGUUGGGAAAGAAAAGCAGCAGGUUAAUACCCCGCUGUUCUGACGGUACCCAAAGAAUAAGCACCGGCUAACUUCGUG
rnacentral:rRNA from 1 species